UCGCAAACUUAUGAAGUUUUGGGUCCUUCCUCCAUAAAAUUUGCUCAUUGACUCUUCUUUCACUUAGUUGUCACAUCCAAGUAGGUUCGCAUCACUUCCGCUUUCGAUUGGCAUUUCGUUGGGAAAUGAAGCAGACAAUCUACUCUCAGUAGCACUGAUCACCGUUGGUGAGGAUUUGAUAACUAUUGUCUUCCAUUAUCUUCGAAGGGUCUUUGAACUUGUGCAGAGCUCCUCUACUGGAUAGAUAAGAGAAUUGGGGUACUCGACUUCGCCCAUUCUCUUAAGAGUUGAGAAGGCAAAGGUUACUUGACUUCGCCCGCCUCCUCGAGGUUUUACUCCAUGCAUCGAGCUGGUUACUAGCCUUCGCCCGCUCUUUGCUCACACUUCUGAAGCACUUGAAGUGUUUGCACUCCUUGCAUUGAGUUAGUUACUGUGAUUCACCUUCUCAAUGUCAUCGAACUUCUGGAAUGCAGGAAGUUUUCACCCCAUCUUGGAGUAAUUCUCUCAUAGGUUUGGUCGCCUUUGGGAUUGUACCGUCUUCUCCAUCAACCCUGCCGCCUACUCCUCUGAGUAGCAAAGGUACAGCACCGCGUACUGCUUGCUUCGUUCCUUGGUUAUGCACUCUUGCAUGACCCGAAGUCCU
rnacentral:lncRNA from 1 species